GGCCUUCUGGAGACAAUCUUUGGCAGGUUAAAAAUAGAAACCGCUUGGAUCAUUCUAGCUGCAGCUGUUUGCGUUGGCUAGGUGUUGACUGGUCCAGGAUAGAACGGCGAUUUUGCGUUUUUGAUCCGGGUUGAAUUUAAGAUGCAUUAUUUUCAGUAUAUGCCUACAAAACGUCUGUCUUGUAACUGUUGUGUAAAAUAAACCUAUUCUACGGUUUCAUUUUUAUCCUAAAAAAAAGUUGUGCCUUAACAAUAGGGCAUUGUAUGUUAAUAAGGGAAAACAAAAUCUUUUUUUAAUAGAUGGGGAAAAUAGGAACUUUUUGCCAUUAAAAUUUAAGUUCUUUUAACAUUUUUAAUAUUAGAGUUGGGGAAAAUUCAUUAAAGUUAAAUACAAUUGAUAUAAAAUUAUUUUUGCAUAAUCUAGCAUUUACAACUGAAGUGCGUUUUUAUAAGAACUGGCAUCUUGAUGUAUAUAGGUCUGAAAUGAUACUUCAUCCUUUGGUUUUUUCAUUUGAACUGAUACAAGACCAGGGUAAGAUGCUACCCCAUGGACGUUUAUCUCUAGAAAAUGUGAUUGCUUCCAACGAAAUGACUAUCCCAAACUCUCUGCCCCUGGACAUACGUUGCCAAACUGAAAUUUGAAUUUUCUGAAUAAAUUGGUGAUGUCUGGAAGA